AUUCUUAAGAGUUUGAUCCUAGCUCCGAAUGAAUGCUAGUAGUAUGCUUUAACACAUGCAAGUUUAAUAGAUAUUUAUUUAAUAUUUAUGAUUAAAUAUUUUAUAAAUAUUUAUAGCGUAAAGGUGAGUAAAUUAUAAAUAAAUUACCUAAAAAUUGUUGUAAAAAUUUUAUUUAAUCAAUAAUAUUCAAAAGAAAAAAAUAAUUUUUUUUAUUUUUUUCGUUUUUAGAUAUUUAUUUAUAUAAGAUUAGGUAGUUGGUAAGGUAAAAGCUUACCAAGCCAAAGAUUUUUAGUUGGUUUGUGAGAAUGAUCAACCACAUCGGGAUUGAAAUAAAGCCCGAACUCUUUAUGAGUCAGCAGUGGGGAAUAUUGGACAAUAAACGAAAGUUUGAUCCAGCAAUACUACAUAAGUGAUGAAGGCUUUAUCGUUGUAAAACUUAUAAUUUGAUGAAAUAAUGAUUUGUCAAAGGAAUAGUUCUGGCAAACUCUGUGCCAGCAGCCGCGGUAAUACAGAGGGAACGAGCAUUAUUCGUCUUUACUGGGCGUAAAGAGUCUUAAGAUGAUUUUUUCAAUUAAAAAUUAAAAAUUAGAGCUUAACUCUAAUAUUUUUUUAAUAUUAAAAAAUUUGAGUAUAUUAAAGGAUUAUAGAAUUUCUAAAGGAGGUGCGACAACCGUUUAUAUUAGGAAGAAUGCCAUUUAGUGAAAACAAUAAUCUAUUAAAAUACUGACAUUGAUAGACGAAAGUAUGGGUAGCAAACAGGAUUAGGUACCCUGGUAGUCCAUACUAUAAACAAUGAAUAUUAAAUAUUAAUAAAUUAUAUUUAUUUUUUAAAUUAUAUAUAGAUUUUUUAUAAUAUUUUUUGUAAAAAAUUAUAUUAAUUUUUAAUGAAUAUUUUCAUUUAAUAUAAAAAGUUAACACGUUAAAUAUUUCGCCUGGGGAGUAAAACCGCAAGGUUGAAACUCAAAGGAAUUGACGGGAGCUUAUACGUACGGUGGAGCAUGUGGUUUAAUCCGAUAGUCCGCGUGGAAUCUUACCAAUUUUUGACAGUUUAUAAUUUUUUUUAUUAUAAAACAGGUGUUGCAUGGUCGUCGUCAGCUUUUAUUUUGAAGUUAAGAUAUAAGUUUAACCCUUGCUUUAAGUUGCUAUUAUUUAAAAGUAUUAAAGGUUAAUUCUUGUUAAUUUUUAAUCAUUAAAUAAGUACUCUUAAAAUAAAUUUGAAUAUAAUUUAUUCAAAAAAUAUGCAAAGGAUGAAGAUAGAUCGUUAUGACCCUUAUAAAUUGGGCUACACAUGUGCUACAAUAUUUUCUACAAAAAGACGCAAUUAUGAAAAUAGGAGCAAAUCUUCAAAAGAAAAUGUAAUACAGAUUAUAGAUUGAAACUCAUCUAUAUGAAGCUGGAAUCGUAAGUAAUCGUAAAUCAGUAUGUUACGGUGAAUUGUUAAAUAAAAUUAAAUUUUUAAUUUUAUUUGUUUAUAAGCUCUGUACACACCGCCCGUCACAUUAAAGAAGUAAGUUUUAGUUAAAAUACUGUUUAUUUAUAUAUAUAUUUUUGUAAAAUAUAUUUUUACAAAAUUUUAUUUUAGGUAGAUUUUAUUAGAUUAAAAUUUAUAAUUUUAAUGAAGUCGUAACAAGGUAACCGUAUGGGAACAUGCGGUUGGAAUUAUAUAUUU
rfam:Blastocystis hominis, Singapore isolate B (sub-type 7) whole genome shotgun sequence assembly, scaffold_32